rnacentral:lncRNA from 1 species
CAUGUUUCUCAUGUAAGAACUCAGAAUGCUUGAACAAACAAGGCACCAAGCCACACCUACUACAUACUAGUUGUUCUUGAAUAUGUAUGUCCAUGCUUUCUACAAAAACUUACAAUUGUUGAUGCUGCUGCGCUUAAAGGCACUCCAUUUUUUCUGGUAUGUGUUUUUAUGUAGACUUCAUCUCUUCGAGGAGGGCGCCCAAGUUGUUUGCCCUACAAGUUUUUAUUUUGCACAUGUCAAAAUGCCCCAAAAUGAUUCAUUCAAAUGAGAUGACAAUGAUAAGUUUCUAUACCAGUUUAUGUGCAGUAGAAGCAUAGCUCACACUUCCUGAUGUGUGAAGAAACUUCAGCUUUGCACGAUUUUCUUUUCCUCUUGCCGCCAGAGCCUAUCAUAAGAAGUGUUACAUUACAUCUGCAUGAGACUCAUGAGAUUCAUAUUAGUUAGUCCUUACUUGAGACUCAGGAGACCUCCAAUAUUUGAGAAGAGAAUCGAAUUCAUGAUCAUCUAUUCUAUGACCAUGUAAGUUCUUCAGUUCUUCAUCAGUUUUUGUUUCAUCAAAAAUUUUUUCCUUUAGUUUUGCCUUAAACUGCUUCCAUUUUGCUCCAGCACUAGAUAUAACCCACUCCAUGGCUUUAUCAUCAAUAUCAAAUCGUUUCUCGAAAGUCAGAAAAAAUCAGCCAAUCAAAUCGUAUCAUGAUAGCAGCUAGCAGCUAGCCGCCCAAAUUUUUUCUAGACCAAUGUAAUGUCAUAUUUUAAACUCCAAUUAACUGAAUUCACAUGAUAGUGUGGGUGACAUAUGCUAGCAGCUAGCUAAACAUUUCAUCAGGCUAAACUGAAGCUUGGUUGUUUCAUCAUUGAGUAACAGAAACAUAUACUGCUAAACUGAAGCUAGAGAUCAGGUGCGCACUGGAGUACUGUAACACCCAAAAAUUUGCAACCUUUGAAAUAGGUGAAAAAUGAUUUAAUUUUAUAUUUUUGUGCUCAUGAGAAUAUAGGGAGAAUAAUAUUUUUUCUUUAAAAUAAAAUUUAUUAUAAGGCUUAGCAACAAUUGUGUGUUAAUCAUGCUGGUGCAUUUUAUUUUUGAGAUGAGUGAUUUUGAACAAGCUACUAACUGAAUUUAAAUGCUUUUAAAAAUAUUUAUAAUUGGUUUUGAAACCAGAAAAGAAAAGAAAAAAAAAAGGAAAACCUCCCUGGAAUAACCAGGCCGCAGCCCAGAAACCCCCCGCGCGCCUCCUCCCCCUCCGGCCUGCUUGCGCGGCCCACCAGGCGCCAGGCCGACCCGCGCGUUUUCCCUCUCUCUCUCUGUGUGGAUGACGAGCGGGGCCAUUCUCUUCUCCCACCGCCAGCCGGGCCCCGCAUGUCAGCGCUCCAAUCCUCUUCCUAGAGCGUCUUCGAGCCGGACUCGGUGGAAAUCACCGAAUCAAUCCCGUGAUACCCGGAUCGAUUUCCGUGCGCCGCAAGCCCCUAUAAAGGUCUUAGACGUCGGUCGCGCUCCGUUGCUUCAAACCCGCCGCGAAACCAAGCCCUAGACGCCGCUCUUCGCCGAGUUCGAGAUCCCGCCGAGCUUGGAGUCGAACUGCCACCGCCGCGCGCUCCUCCUAUUCCCUUUUGGACCGAACCGAGCACGCAGUCGACUUCGCGGUGAGCUGCUCGUCAUCCCGGAGUUUUUCUUUCUCGAAACGGUGCUCGGAAACGGGAAGUCACUGUGCGCCGACGAGCUCCGGGUGGCGCCCAUGGCGCGCCACCGUGCCGGAGCUGGAAAUCGGCCGGGCUGUGCUGAAAGACGUUUUCAGAUAUUUACAAAACUGCCAUUGAAUUAGUUUUGGCCAUAAAAUGGUCAUUUUAACUCCGUUUUUGUCCAUUCAAAUUGCGUUAGGUUCUUAAUUACAUGCUCUACAUGUUAGAAAUAUUAGUUUACUGUUUUGAAACUUUUUAUUUCUGCAGUAGCAUUUAAUUAAUUAUUUACCUAUAGGAAAUCUUAGAAAAUUCAUAUCUUCUACGUUUUAAUUCCGAUUUUCGUGAACUUUACGUUUGUAUGAUCGUAGCGCUGCGUAGAAUAUUUUUUAUAAACUUUUAUCUUUUAUUUACCACUGUUUGGUGUAUUGUUCUAAUUAUAUCUUGUUUGCUUCGUGUAUGAUUGUCUACAUUGGAUUGCGUGUUGUUGAUUGAUGAUCGGGUAUAGACGGUGAGCGAUACGUUGGUGAGCAAGAUCAAGUUUUUGAAGACCAGCAGGCUCAGGAGAGUUUUGAUCAAGGCAAGUAUAACUUGGGACCAUCCUUGUUACCUAUUCACUUAUAACUACAUAUAUAUAUCAUAUGCAUGCUAUCACCUUGUCGACCUUAGCAAAAUCAUAGAUGAUUGUUACCUGUAUUCCUUGCUACCUACUUGAUAUGCAUUUGGUAUAGAUGUGCUAGUGCUUGAUAUAAUCCAUGAUCUUGUAAGAUGAUUAAUAGCUAUGCAAUGAACAUAAAAGAAUGACAAAUAACUAUAUGAGAUCUUGUCUGUAAGUGAUCACCGGGACAACAGUGCAACCAUGAGGGCUAUAAUGGCUCUGGCUUUAGCUCAGUAUGAAGCACUUUUCUAGCUGGUUAGAGGUUACCCGAAAGGGCGGAGGGGCUGAACCGUUUUGGGUAUAGUGUGGCCUCUGUCUGUAUGAGUAUAGGCUGCGAGUCAUUGUGCCAUCGGAAGGGGGGCUCUAUAUCUGCGCGCAAAGGAAACCUUGCGGCCCUAACUUGUUAGACGAACUUUUGAAAGGCUUCAUAGUGAUCCCUGCCGACCUCCCUAGGAAGGGGGUUAAGAGAUUAGCUACCUCGGGCGAAAGGGUAAAUCAUGACUCAUGGGUAAAGAUGUACAACCUCUGCAGAGUGUAAAACUGGUAUACUAGCCGUGCUCACGGUUAUGAGCGGCCUUGGGGGUUCUUGCUGCGCCGACAAUGAGCUUAUUAAGUUGUUAUGUUAAUUUGAUUAUCGUUUAUGCUAUGAGAUUAAUUAUGCUUACACUUGAUCAUGUGAUUAGUGGAUUAUCUAUGCUACCUUGGCAUUUGCUAUUUAAUUAUGAAUAUGCUAUCCACUAUUAAAAGCUAAAUGCAGUCAAACCAGUGUCAGCUAUUUGAGCCUCAUGAACCCCUGGUUAUACUUGUUGAGUACGAUAUGUGCUCACUCUUGCAAUUCCCUAACACCUCAGGAUAUGAUAAUGAAGAUGACUAGAAUGAGGACUACUGUUAUGAGUAUUAGGUUUGGAGUCAACCAGUCAACAGUGUCCCUGUGUGGAGCUUCCAUCGAGAGCGUUGUUUACUUUAUGAUAUCAUCUUUGUAUGAGACUAUGUGAUUCAAUAUAUAUUCCGCUAUGUAAUAAACACUGCAAUGGUACAUUUGAGAUUUGUCUACUUAUGUGUGCGACUGUUUCUGGGGCACAUAUGAGUCUUUUAUGCAU